CGGAAAAGAACUAACAAGGAUUCCCCUAGUAACGGCGAGUGAAGCGGGAUGAGCUCAAAUUUAAAAUCUGGCUGGUUUACUAGUCCGAAUUGUAGUUUAAAGAAGCGUUUUCGGUGGCAGCCUGGGUAUAAAUCCUUUGGAACAGGGUAUCAUAGAGGGUGAGAAUCCCGUCUUUGACUCAGUGCAUGCUACUAUGUGAUACGUUUUCAAAGAGUCGAGUUGUUUGGGAAUGCAGCUCAAAAUGGGUGGUAAAUUUCAUCUAAAGCUAAAUAUUGGCGAGAGACCGAUAGCGAACAAGUACCGUGAGGGAAAGAUGAAAAGAACUUUGAAAAGAGAGUUAAACAGUGCGUGAAAUUGUUGAAAGGGAAACGCUUGACACCAGUCAUGCGAGCGGAAAAUCAGUCUUUUGCAGUGGGGAGUUGUGUGGGUUCGGACCGCAAGGCCGGCCUGCGCUGCAUCUCUGCUGUAAGUGAUGCACUUUUUCGUUUGCAGGCCAACAUCAGUUUCUUCUGCUGGACAAAACUCUUGAGAAGGUGGCAGCUUAGGCUGUGUUAUAGCUCUUGAGCGAUACAGUGGAGGGGACUGAGGUUUUCGCAGCGCGUGCUCUCGGGCAAGGCUGAUUGGGUGCUAUGGGAUCGUUCGGUGUACAAUGCAUGCAUUUUGCGCCGUGUCUUUUCUAUACUCGCUCAACUCGGCUCUUCCGCGCUUAGGAUGUUGGCUUAAUGGUUUUAUCG
rnacentral:rRNA from 1 species